rnacentral:rRNA from 1 species
UGAGUAACACGUGGGAACGUGCCCUUUGGUACGGAAUAACUCAGGGAAACUUGAGCUAAUACCGUAUGUGCCCUUCGGGGGAAAGAUUUAUCGCCAUUGGAGCGGCCCGCGUCUGAUUAGCUAGUUGGUGAGGUAAAGGCUCACCAAGGCGACGAUCAGUAGCUGGUCUGAGAGGAUGAUCAGCCACAUUGGGACUGAGACACGGCCCAAACUCCUACGGGAGGCAGCAGUGGGGAAUCUUGCGCAAUGGGCGAAAGCCUGACGCAGCCAUGCCGCGUGAAUGAUGAAGGUCUUAGGAUUGUAAAAUUCUUUCACCGGGGACGAUAAUGACGGUACCCGGAGAAGAAGCCCCGGCUAACUUCGUGCCAGCAGCCGCGGUAAUACGAAGGGGGCUAGCGUUGCUCGGAAUUACUGGGCGUAAAGGGAGCGUAGGCGGACAUUUAAGUCAGGGGUGAAAUCCCGGGGCUCAACCUCGGAAUUGCCUUUGAUACUGGGUGUCUUGAGUAUGAGAGAGGUGUGUGGAACUCCGAGUGUAGAGGUGAAAUUCGUAGAUAUUCGGAAGAACACCAGUGGCGAAGGCGACACACUGGCUCAUUACUGACGCUGAGGCUCGAAAGCGU